CAGUGGAUCGGUUCUCCACUUCACACAGACUGAUGGUUCAUUUCACUGACAGUUUCCUUCAAUAUUUGUCCUCAAUCCUCAUAUUUUCAGGAUUUUCUUCAUCUAUCUCCCUGAAUGACAAAGAUUUGAAAUGUUUUUUUUACUGAAGCAGUUUGUCUCUGUGAAAGUGGAUUCUGUCUCACGUCUGAGCGGUUUGAUUGGAGAACUUUCCCUCCGACGAUCAUUCCUGCACAAACAGCAGCGGCGCUCCUGUUGCUGUUUGUGGUCGUCGUCAUGGACGCUCCAGCGGGGAAUGUGACGUCUCCACAUUCCACGGCUGCCUCCGACACCGGCUCACCGCGUCACGCCGGCUCAGCUCGCCUCAGGAAAACAUCCACCGAGUCACUUUAACCUUUCAGGAAGAACGUCUGAAACCAUCAAACAAUCAAAGUCGGACCGUCCUCGGACUCUGAGGCUGCAGAGCCUCCAGCUCGCUGUCAGGCGGUCUGUAGAAAAGCAUCAGCCUAAUAAAUAAACAGCGACUGAAGUGGAUUGCUUGGCUGGUCAUCAGGGAGACGUCUCUGCAGCAGAGGUCAGAGGUCGCGCUGUAAUAACCGCCGCCUCCAUCACGGCUGAUGAAUCCUGUCAAAGUGACUUUGGAGGAUGUAAAUAAAUGCUGUGGAAGCUCGA